CAUGGUUCAUCUGAUCUUGACCUCAUUUUCAUUGUUCAUUGAUCAGUUUAGUUUUCUUGGUUAAUGUUGAGUUUAUGUGACAGUUGUAAUAAAGCUUUAUGUUAAGGACUAACAACAUAAUAUCAAUGAUUAGUAAAGAAGGCGAGACAUUUCAGCGUGUGCACUCUUGUUCAAUAAAUAUCUGAAAUUUACACUGCAUUUCACACAAAACGUACAGCAUGAAGGUAUAUCUUUUAUUGCAAAUGUGAAUUAAAGAUGUUCGCUUGUCAUGUUUUGGAAAUUUUGUCUGAUUUUCGGAAUUCUAUGGUUUUUUCUAUUUGAAUGCCUUACAAAAUUUUGACCAUUG
rnacentral:lncRNA from 1 species